GACGAACGCUGGCGGCGUGCCUAAUACAUGCAAGUCGAGCGGAUCUCUUCAGAGAUCAGCGGCGGACGGGUGAGUAACACGUGGGCAACCUGCCUGUAAGACUGGGAUAACUCCGGGAAACCGGGGCUAAUACCGGAUAACCCUUCGGACCUCAUGGUCCGGAGCUGAAAGACGGUUAUGCUGUCACUUACAGAUGGGCCCGCGGCGCAUUAGCUAGUUGGUGAGGUAACGGCUCACCAAGGCAACGAUGCGUAGCCGACCUGAGAGGGUGAUCGGCCACACUGGGACUGAGACACGGCCCAGACUCCUACGGGAGGCAGCAGUAGGGAAUCUUCCGCAAUGGACAAAAGUCUGACGGAGCAACGCCGCGUGAGUGAAGAAGGUUUUCGGAUCGUAAAACUCUGUUGUUAGGGAAGAACAAGUACGAGAGUAACUGCUCGUACCUUGACGGUACCUAACCAGAAAGCCACGGCUAACUACGUGCCAGCCGCCGCAGUAACAC
rnacentral:rRNA from 1 species